ACGAACGCUGGCGGCGUGCUUAACACAUGCAAGUCGAACGGAAAGGCCCUGCUUUUGUGGGGUGCUCGAGUGGCGAACGGGUGAGUAACACGUGAGUAACCUGCCCUUGACUUUGGGAUAACUUCAGGAAACUGGGGCUAAUACCGGAUAGGAGCUCCUGCUGCAUGGUGGGGGUUGGAAAGUUUCGGCGGUUGGGGAUGGACUCGCGGCUUAUCAGCUUGUUGGUGGGGUAGUGGCUUACCAAGGCUUUGACGGGUAGCCGGCCUGGGAGGGUGACCGGCCACAUUGGGACUGGGAUACGGCCCAGACUCCUACGGGAGGCAGCAGUGGGGAAUAUUGCACAAUGGGCGGAAGCCGGAUGCAGCAACGCCGCGUGCGGGAUGACGGCCUUCGGGUUGUAAACCGCUUUCGCCUGUGACGAAGCGUGAGUGACGGUAAUGGGUAAAGAAGCACCGGCUAACUACGUG
rnacentral:rRNA from 1 species